UACGGGGGGGGCAAGCGUUGUUCGGAAUUACUGGGCGUAAAGGGUUCGUAGGUGGCCUGCUAAGUCAGACGUGAAAUCCCUCAGCUUAACUGGGGAACUGCGUCUGAGACUGGCGGGCUUGAGUGCGGGAGAGGGAUGUGGAAUUCCAGGUGUAGCGGUGAAAUGCGUAGAUAUCUGGAGGAACACCGGUGGCGAAGGCGGCAUCCUGGACCGACACUGACGCUGAGGCGCGAAAGCCAGGGGAGCAAACGGG
rnacentral:rRNA from 1 species